GCCGAUGUGGCGGAAUCGGUAGACGCGCUACGUUCAGGGCGUAGUUCCCGUACGGGAGUGGGGGUUCGACUCCCUCCAUCGGCA
rnacentral:tRNA from 1 species